rnacentral:rRNA from 1 species
CCUACGGGUGGCUGCAGUGGGGAAUAUUGGACAAUGGGCGAAAGCCUGAUCCAGCCAUGCCGCGUGUGUGAAGAAGGCCUUCGGGUUGUAAAGCACUUUCAGUGGGGAAGAAAGCCUUGGGGCUAAUACCCUCGAGGAAGGACAUCACCCACAGAAGAAGCACCGGCUAACUCCGUGCCAGCAGCCGCGGUAAUACGGAGGGUGCGAGCGUUAAUCGGAAUUACUGGGCGUAAAGCGCGCGUAGGCGGUCUGAUAAGCCGGUUGUGAAAGCCCCGGGCUCAACCUGGGAACGGCAUCCGGAACUGUCAGGCUAGAGUGCAGGAGAGGACGGUAGAAUUCCCGGUGUAGCGGUGAAAUGCGUAGAGAUCGGGAGGAAUACCAGUGGCGAAGGCGGCCUUCUGGACUGACACUGACGCUGAGGUGCGAAAGCGUGGGUAGCAAACAGGAUUAGAUACCCCGGUAGUC